GAUGGAUACCCCUCUCCUCAUUCGUUUAGGGCGAGGCCCGGCCUCGUUUUUUUUGCUCUCUCUUGCUUGCUCCCGUGCUGCUUACUUGGCUUACUUCUUCUCCUCUUUGUCCCAUGCGGACUACUGCUUUCAUGUACAUCUUCUUCUCUCCCCGGCCCUCCUAACGUCAGGAAUAGCGAUCCGGGAAUGCAAUUAUCUAGCGACUAAAGCAAGUUACUAAAGAAAAGGGCUGCCCUUACUCUAUUCCAGUUAUGUAAGGAAUAGCGGGCAGGAUGAUAGCAACAAGCAGAUUCGACUUCUUGUUACAGGUCUGAUGUCCUCUUUUACUAGCUACUAAAAUAGCCUGACUCCACUUCUAAUAUAGUUAGUGAGCGCUUACAGUCCGAGAAAUGUGGUUAUUCCGAGAGCAAGUUAUUGGUGGGAUCUGAGUGUGCUGAUUACAGACAAUUUUUCGCUAUGGCAGUCUGAAAAGUAAGGUUCUUACGGGAACACCGUCGAGGUUUAAUAUCCAAAGUCGCUAGUUUAGUUGAAGGCUUUAUUUAAACUGCUGCUCUGAAAAAAAGGCAAAUUGAGACAGCCUAGCGACUGCCUCAGAUAAAAGAUCUUUCUCCAGGAAACCAACUGGUGAUGGGAUAGGUUUCAUUUUGAGUCAAAAUUAGGGAUGAAGUGGUUUUCUUGCCUCUUCCUUCAAACUAUACUUACACCUCAGCAGCCGUUAAUAGCAAACCCAACCUGGUGGAUUGGGAUACUAUGAGGACCCCUUUAGACUUAAAAAAGCUAGAGGGCCUAUCGAAGUGGGUCCUUGCGCACCAAAGACAAUGAUGGAUGGUACCAGGUUUCGCUACACUUUACUUUUACGAAUCCAGGCGCGUCCGGUAGAAUUGGUAAGAUCCACUUAAAGGAACAAGGUCGAAAUGACCCCUAGCCAGGAUGGUAGCCGACUGUAAGCACAAGACGGGAUUGAUUGGAGAUAUCCCAAGUUCCCAGCUAUACUUGUGGAUCUUCGGUUUACAGAGAAAAAACGAGGAGAGAGAGGGUCCCCAGACAAUUGUCGUCAGGUUGGAACCCACACCUAGAAAGUUUCCGUUUCCUAUAGCUGGUUGACAGGCUAAAAACGUUCUUCACUAUUCUUCCUGACGCCGAGGAAGAUAUGAAACACAAGGACGGAUCACUGUAAUGACUGCCUCUGUCCCGAAGAAUGCUCGUUGAAAAGUAUGCUCGGUUGCAGGCUUCAGUGACGAUAAAGGAUCCGGCAUAUG
rnacentral:lncRNA from 1 species